CAGGACGAACGCUGGCGGCGUGCCUAAUACAUGCAAGUCGAGCGGACAGAAGGGAGCUUGCUCCCGGAUGUUAGCGGCGGACGGGUGAGUAACACGUGGGUAACCUGCCUGUAAGACUGGGAUAACUCCGGGAAACCGGAGCUAAUACCGGAUAGUUCCUUGAACCGCAUGGUUCAAGGAUGAAAGACGGUUUCGGCUGUCACUUACAGAUGGACCCGCGGCGCAUUAGCUAGUUGGUGGGGUAAUGGCUCACCAAGGCGACGAUGCGUAGCCGACCUGAGAGGGUGAUCGGCCACACUGGGACUGAGACACGGCCCAGACUCCUACGGGAGGCAGCAGUAGGGAAUCUUCCGCAAUGGACGAAAGUCUGACGGAGCAACGCCGCGUGAGUGAUGAAGGUUUUCGGAUCGUAAAGCUCUGUUGUUAGGGAAGAACAAGUGCGAGAGUAACUGCUCGCACCUUGACGGUACCUAACCAGAAAGCCACGGCUAACUACGUGCCAG
rnacentral:rRNA from 2 species